AUAUUUUUACAUGAGAAAUUUUUGUGUAUGUAAUUGAAUAUUUGCAUAUCUUCCUUUUUAAAGUUGCUGCCUUUGUUGUCUUUAGAAAGGACUUCCCCAUCCCAAGGUUACACAUAACUUUCCUACAUUUUCUUACAGUAUUUUUUUGUUUCUUUAUUAUACUUUUAAAUUGUAAUCCAUCUGAAUCUAUUUUGUCAUAUAGCAAUGUGAGGAUUUAAGUUUCUCUCUUUUCCAAAUAGUUUUCUACUUGUCCUGACAAUGGUCUACUGAAUAAUCUAUCCUUUUGUGUUCAAGUUGAACCCUGAAAAAUCAUACUCUAAAAUUCUUCUAUGUAUAUUUUCUUUUUCAAUGAUUUUUUACCUACCUUUUUUGAUUAGCAUAUUAUUUUAACUAUUGUAAUGCAUUUAAAUAUCUGAUAGCUUGAAUCAUUCAUCUUUUCCAAAAAUUUCUUGGCAAUUGCUUUCAUCAUCUCCUGACCAGAUGGUUGUCAUGGUAUCUUAUUGCUUAUUCUACCGUUGGUCUCCCUUGCUUCUAAUCUGUUCACAACACAGCAGACUAGUGUUCUAAAACACAAAUUGGAUAAUUUACUCUCUUGAUUGUAAUAUAUACUUCCAGGUAUUUAAAAAGACUGAAAAUGGGUACAUUGCCUAUAUCAGGGUUUUGAACUUUAAGUCCAAGCUAUUUCUGGGCUUCAGAGUAUUUGUGGACACCAUACACAUUAUUUUGGUGGAUGUGCUUUCUCCCCUCUUUUUCUUGAGAAUAGGAUUCAUAGUUAUACUAGAUUUUAAAGAUUCAUGACCCCAAAGUAUUAAUGACCAUUGGGCUACAAGAAGGAGGUCAGAUUCUUUAGAAUGGUUCAUAAGGAGCACACUCCCCAUGGGUGAACUUUGCUUACCUCCCUUAGCACCCUCCUACAUCCUUCCUGCUUUUCACCCAUCCUGAACUCCUUGCACUUUACUGAACAGUCUGUUGGUUCAUGCCUCAGUGCCUUUGUACAUGUUAUUCCUUCUGUGGAAGAACUCUCCCUACACACCCCACCCAUCUGGAAAACUGUUGCUUGUACUUCAAGAAAUGAUCAAAAGGUUUUCACCUCUGUGAAACCUUUCCUGAUUUCCUUAGGCAAGGCUGAUCUCUCUUUCUCUUUUUAUUUUAUUUUAUCAUAUAUAUUUUUUUGUCUUUUUAGGCAUAUGGAGGUCCCAGGGUAGGAGUCAAACCAGAGCUGUAGCCACUGGCCUACACCAGAGCCACAGCCAGGCAGUAUCCGAGCUGCAUCUGCACUGUACACCACAGGUCAUGGCAACGCCAGAUCCUUACCCCACUGAGCAAGGGAAGGGAUAAAACCUGCAACCUCAUGGUUCCUAGUUGGAUUUGUUAACCACUGAGCCAUGACGGGAACUCCGUCUCUUUCUCUUUUUAAAUUGUUGUACUUAGUCUGUAUUUUAUUAUUAUUCUUACAUUACUGGUAGAUUCUUGAGCACAAGUCAGAGAAAUUUUGUGGGAGAGUGGGAGGGUCAAUGAAAGGAAGUAGAAUAAUUAGUGGGGUCUUGCAGUCUUGCAUGAAGGCAGUGGAGAUUGGGGAAGGGAGUGGAGAUUUAUUUUGAAAAUAGAGUGGACAAGAUUUGUUGAUGAGCUAUUGCUGUAGGGGGGAAAAUGAGCAAUCUGGUAUGAUCCCUAGGUUUCUGACUCAAAUAUCUGGGUGGAUAGUGUGGCCAUCAUUUUGCUCAUUAAGCUGUAGACUCAAUAAGUUUUUAUCCAGUAGAUAAUUCCCCAAAGUUCUUAGAUGCCACUUUUCCUGACGUAAUGCAAAAGUUUGAUGCCAUGUGGGGUAGGAUGAAUAGUUCCUGUACUGCCUCCUGAGACUAAGAUUCUGGGGAUGCUUGCCAUGCCAUAUGCACUGAGACCCAGGGGGAAGUCUUCACGGAUUAGAUGUAUCUUGAAAUAGAUCUGGAAUGAAUACCAAAUUUAAAAUAUAGAUGGGAGUUCCCAUUGUGGCUCAGCAGUAACGAAACCAACUAGUAUCCAUGAGGGUGCAGGUUCGAUCCCUGGCCUUGCACAGUGGGUUAAGGAUCCCGCAUUACUGUGAGCUAUGGUAUAGGUCACAGACAUGAAUUGGAGCCCAUGUUGCUAUGGCUGUGGUGUAGGCCAGCAGCUGCAGCUCUGAUUCAGCUCCUAGCCUGGGAACUCCCAUAUGCUGCAAGUGUGGCCCUAAAAAGAAAAAAAAAAUUGGAGAUGAAGUAAAGCUCAUGUCUGUCAUCCUCAAUUCAUUUAAUUUUCUGAGAUGUUUGUAAUUCUACAUAAAAUGUAUUUUCACAGUUACAAAGGCUUUGUUUGCUAUUGGAGUUAAAACAAUGUUCACUAGUUAAGCUAUAGGGAAGUCUGAAACUUCAAGUUUGUGCUUGGCAGUUACCAUCUGAACUUCCGAGAGGUGAAAUAUAUUUCACUCUUACUCCUUUUAAAGGCUGCAUGGUGUUUUGUUUCUUACAUGUCAUAUUGUUUAUAUAGCCAGUUCCUUCCAUUUAGGUUGUUUUAAUGUUUUCCUGUAUCCAACAGUACACACAUAUGCAAGUAUAUCUGUAGGACAGAGUCUUAAGGGUAGAAUUAUUUAUUUAUUUAAUUUUUUUCUUUUAAAUGAUUUUUAUUUUUUUUCCAUUAUAGCUGGUUUACAGUGUUCUGUCAAUUUUUUCCCCCUUUUUAAAUGUUAUUUCCCCAAUACAAUUUUUUUUUUCUCCUGUACAGCAUGGUGACACAGUUACACAUACAUUCUGUCAAUUUUAAGAGUAGAAUUAUUUAGACGAAAGCAAUUAAAAAUUUUUGUACUAGUUUACCCUUCUAGCAAUGUCUGUGAGUCACUGCUUCUCCUAUCACCCCACCAACACUGAGUAUAAAUCUAGUAGGCAAAAAUACUACCUUAUUGUUACUUUGUUUCUUUCAUUGUGAGUACAGUUGAGUAUCUUCCCCAUGUCAACAUGUCUAUUUCCUUGAAUAGCUACUCUUGAACCUCUGAAAUUAUGAGAAAGUGGUGACUAUCAAAAGGAAAAUUGGCUCAUUUUUCCUGAUACCUCUCUUGGAACUGCCUAGAGGCCUCCAUUUCCAGUCUUGUGGAGACCAACUCAGGUCACUCAACCAGUGGUCCCAGUUCCUUCCUCAUGUGAAUUUAUUGAAUGCACACUCUAUGCCAGAUUCUGUCUUAGCUGCUUGGGAAGGUGUAGUCAGGGAACAAAACAGGCACAAAAUCCUGCUCUUAAGGAUUUUGUAUUCCAAAGGGGAAAGAAUAUUGUAAGUUAAUUAGCUAAAAAUUACAAAUAUCAGGUGGUGAUAUUGGCAUGAAGAAGAAUAAAUCAGAGGAAAGAUUUAGGUGGUAUGGAUGCGGGGAGGUGCUAUUUUACAUAGAUUGUCAAGAAAGACCUUUCUGAGCACGUCUGUGGCUUCUUCCACAUCUGUGUGUCUAGUUAUACUCCCCUCCUUUCCUUCAUUCUUACUAUUUCUUUCAAGUGUGAAUUCUCUGAUACCAAAUACGGAUAGAGCUUUGUUUAACGACCUUUCUAUAGUGAUUAUGUUAAAAUGAUUUCAGUGUGAAUUCUCUGAUAUGUUGGAGCAAAUGAAUGAUAACUAAAGGCCUCUUAAAACUUGUUAAGAUUUGUAGGGUGAUAAGGAGCACCAACCUCUGAUACAGAAAAAGUGUGGAAUAUUCCAACAGCUAGUGAGGGCCAUUUCACUCCAUUCAUGGAUCUCUCACAAAUGCCUGAGUUGGUCACAAAAUAAACAGCUUCUCAAUGGGGCUAGUUUAUGGCUUUUGUCCUCAUGACAAAGGCAGUCUUCAUGUGGAAAAAUUGACCUAGUAAGGAAAAGUGGAAGUCAAACUUCAUCAUAGCUUCCAUGCCUCCUAAAUAUAAAAUGUCUACCAUAGGAUUGGUUUGGAAACAAAUGUAUUUAUUUAUUUAGUCUUCUUAGGGCCGCACCUAUGGCACAUGGAGGUUCCCAGACUAGGGGUCCAACUGGAGCUACAGCUGCAGGCCUACACCAGAGCCACAGCAACUCGAGAUCCGAGCCAUGUCUGUGACCUACACCACAGCUCACAGCAACACUGGGUCCUUAAUCCACUGAGCAAGGCCAGGGAUCAAACACGCAACCUCAUGGUUCCUAGUUGGAUUUGUUAACCACUGAGCCACAACGGGAACUCCUGGAAACAAAUGCUUUUAAAAUUUUUAUCUGGAUGCUUAUGAGCUGGAAAGAAAUGGAGGCAGUGGUAACUGAAUUUCUAUAAUGGAUGUUAAAGAUAUGAAGAGUAUUUCUAAUUUACAUAUUCCCUCUGAAUUUAUGCAAAAAGGUAUUAAUAUAAGUGUAAAUUAACAUAAAGACCCAAGUGUAUUAAGAAUAUUCAAGAUCUAUACACAAAUGAUAGUGGAAAAGACUACUAUCCAGUUCUUGGCAAAAAUAAAAAUUUGGGGCACAGAGUUGGGAGAGUCUACUCACCAUCAGUUUUCACUGAAAUCACAAACUGGAUGCUUAGAUUUCCUUGCAGUCAGGAGUCCAUGUAAAAUAUUAUAUGUAAUAAUAUCCUUUAUUAAAUUCCUUAUGUAAGGCAUUGUGCUAAGCACUUUAUAUACUAUCUAAUUCAUUCUUGCAUUAAGACUGAAAGGCUUUGGCGUUCCCAUCGUGGCUCAGUGGAAACAAACCUGAUUAAUAUCCAUGAGGAUUCAGGUUCCAUCCCUGACCCCACUCAGUGGAUUAAGGAUCUUGCAUUGCCGUGAGCUGUGGUGUAGGUUACAGACAAGACUUAGAUCCUGCAUUGCUAUGGCUGUGGCUGGCAGCUGCAGCUCCAAUUUAACCCCUAGCCUGGGAACUUCUAUAUGCCUGCAGUGUGGCCCUAAAAAAA
rnacentral:lncRNA from 1 species